GCUGGCACAUAGUAGGUCCUUUAUUAUUAUUGCUUGGUUUAUUAUUUAAUCUAUCAAGGUGUAGUGAGGCAAAAACUGAUGUUAAGAAAAAAAUUAAUAGCAUCUAGAGGCAUCAUAAUAUUUAUCGAGGCAUUUUUAAGAGAAAACUGAUAUUUCAUAAAGAUUUUUUUCAAGAACAUUUUUAUUUUUAAAUAUUUUGGGGCCAGGCACGGUGGCUCACCCCUGUAAUCUAAACACUUCAGAAGGCCAAGGCGGGAGGAUCACUUGAGGAAUUCAACACCAGCAUGGGCAACAUAGUGAGACCUUGUCUCUAUAAAAAAAUUAAAGAAAAAUUAGCUAUUUGUAGUGGUGCAUACCUAUAGUCCCAGCUACUCGAGAGGCUGAGUGGAAAGGAUCCCUUGAGCUCAGUAGUUGGAGGUUAGAGUGAGCCAUAAUUGUACCACUAUACUCCAGCCUGAGCAACAAAGCAAGAUUCUAUCUCUGAAAAAAAAAAUUAUACAUCUUUGCUGUAUUUGAGAUAGUCCAAAUGUGAAAACAUUAAAAGAUAACUUCCCACCCAGAAAUCAGAAAAUAUUUUUCAGUAACAAAUAAUAAAACUAUUAUGUUUUAAGUCAAAUGUUACAUGCCUCUUCUCAGACUCUGGGAAUGUUGCACUUCCAACAAAGUGUCCAAUCAAUUAAAAACAAAAUACACAGACAUCCCCCUCAAAAAAAUCAAUGCAAUUAAAAAUAAUACUGACAAUUCCCAGUCUAUGAAGACUAUGAAGAAGCUAUGCCCUGGUGAUUUAAUAUUAGGAUGGAGAUGGAAGACCUGAGAUGUCAUGCAAAACUCUGAGCACCUUAAAAUUGUGGCUUGAAUGAAACAUUGCAGAAGAAGGAGAAGUAGAGGAAAAUCUUCACUUGGGAAGGCCCCAAGAAUGAUCAACAUGAGUGAAUCAAACAGCCAGGCACAAGGAGGUCUAGAACUGCUUUUCUCCCAGCACAAGCAUGUCUGAGUCUCACGUUAGACAGCUGAGUUUUAUUCCUAUAGAAGUCUAGCUAUUUAUGAAAAUAUCUGAGAUGCAUUUUCAGUUGCUUACGCAGAGUGCUCCAGCUUGCAAGUGGAAGGGUCAUGCGGGAGCCCAGGCAGGAACCCCACUCACUUGAGACUUUCUCCUCAGCUUGGGGCCUGCAGGUGCCCACCUCCCCCAUGUGGGCCACCUUAUCAGAAGGAAUCUGAAAUGUUGAAGUCCACAGGAAACAGUAAAAGAAUGCGGGUUCUGGAUUCUGCCACAAAUAAUCCUGUGUCCACAGACAAUUAAUUUUGCUAUACCUUUUUCUUCACAUACUAGAAAGAGCUGAAAAGAAAUCUGAGAUCUCCCAAACAUCCUCUGAUUUUAGAGAUGGGGCUCAUGGUAACAAGGAUAGGAGUGACUUUCCUGGCAUCAUUUCACCCAUUCAUUCACCCACUGAGUGUUUACUUUGUGCCAGGCAUAUUGGACCUCAGGGAGCUUACAGUGAGGAGAUCAACAAAUUUCCCGCAAUGGAAGUUUGGAAGGAAGCAUAGAACAGAGAAAGCUUGCAAUUCUCUGCAGGAACCAGGGACGCCUUCACAGAGGAGGGAACAUACAAGCUCAGUUUUGAAGUAGAUGUUUGCCUUGGGCCAGGGAGGAACUACAUUCCAGGAAAAGGAGACUAUUCCAUGAAAAGUUCAGGAGGCAUUAACGCAUUGAGUAUUCAAAUAGCAGCAAGUUCAGCCAGUGGAAUAUCAGACUAGAGAGGAAAUGAUUAAGGGCUUGGAAUGUUCCAUAUUUCCCACAAGGAAAUAAUUUUAGUUGGCACAUGAACUAACAUUUGUUACUAUAAUAGUUAUAGCAGAGAAAUGCAACUAGAAUUUGAAACCUAUGCCUUUAAGGAGAAUGUUGCUUAGGACAAGAGUAAAACUAAACAGAGAGUAGUGUGAAAUGCCUGUAAAGUAAUAGUGGUGGUAAAACUUGAAAACCACAAAAGAUGGAAGAUGAAAGGGGGAGGGAGGAAGGGAAGGCGAGGCAGAGGUUGAAAAACUAUCAAUUACUAUGCUCAUUACCUGGGUGACAGAUCAAUCAUACCUCAAACCUCAGCACCACGCAAGGAACAGGCAGGUGCAAUGCAGGAAAGGGCAUAGCAGAGGUAUUUAGAAGGCAGAAUCCAUAGGAAUUGGCCAUCACUGGAUAUGGCUAUUAAGGGAGAAGCUAUCCAGGAUGAUGGUUCAGCUAUCCAGUUGGACAACGGGGCAAACGGCAGGACAAUUCUCCAGGACAGAGAACACAAGAAGAAUCAGGAGGAAUGAUGUUGCAUGUUCACCAUGAGCAGGGGCAUUAAUUUCGAUGAACAUUCUGUAGUUCACAGACUGGCUAUAAACACACCCGUGAACACCAACUUGAAUACUGGGAACGGGGACCCAGGGAAAGGAGAUGCCCAGUGCUGUGACCUCUGGACUGGAACCCUGCUGAAAUGAUUCGGAGGGCUAAAUGUUUCUCUUCUGCUUAAUAACAUAAGUUCUAUCUCACAGGCUCAGCAGCUGCCCUGUAGCUAGUUGUUGAGGGGGGGCAAAAGAGCUAUUAAUUAAGGUGUGCAGUCUAGCUGACACCUGAUAGUACUGCUGUGUCCUCUGGCACACAGCAGCCCAUGUCUCCAAUUUAAAGGGCAGAAAUUAAAAGCCAUGCAACCUGACCUCACAAGCUUGAGCUCCCCUGAACUGUGGCCGGAUCCCUAGACAUACACCAGGCAGAAUCCACGUCUGCACAUUUAGUCCCCGCAGCCUGCAGAAACCUAACACCUUUUCCCACCCACUUCCAGUGCCACCAGGAAAUUAGCACUCACCCAGGUACUGGGUCAUAAUUAAACUGAACAAAAAGACAGCUGCUCCUACCUUUCUUUUUUAAUCACCAACAUGCAGCCUUGGGGAUUACCAGCUUUGGGUUGAUUUAGGGAGGAUUACUCUUUCAUUAGUUUCCAGGGUCAGUUCCAAUACACUGUCAUCAGAGCCCUUUAAGAUACCCUUCCAUGCCAACAGUUCAUCCCUUUCCAUGACUGAAAGGUUAGGUUUUUGCAAGCCUACUAUUUGUCAGACCCCCAAAUAUCUGAUUUUUAACCAGAAACAACACCCUAAAAUGAUUCUGCACUGAUUUUCUAGGUAUAUAAUGAGAUGUCACUCUAAAUCCCCAACGUAGUCUCUAAUAAUGAUGAGAAGGAACAAAUGUGGGAAAGGAACAAAUGUGGAGAGCUCAAGCUUCUGCAUAGCAAAGAAAACCAUUUAUAGAGUGAAGAGAACUCACAGAGUAGGAGAAAAUAUCUGUAUACCACACAUCUGAUAAGGGGUUAAUAUCCCAAAUAUAUAAGAAAUUCAACUUAAUAGCAAGAAAACAAAUAACCUGAUUUUUAAAUGGACAAAGGACUUGAAUAGAUAUUUUUUAAAAGAAGACAUACAAAUAGCCAACAGAUUAAUUUAAAAAUGCUCAACAUCACUAAUAAUCAAGGAAAUGCAAAUUCAAAUCACAAUGAGAGAUUAUCUUACACAGGUUAGAAUGACUGCCAUCAAAAAGACAAAAGAUAACAAGUGUUGGCAAGAAUGUGGAGAAAAAGGACCGCUUGUAUACUGUUGUAAUGUAAAUUAGUACAGCCAUUAUGGAAAACAGUAUGGAGGUUCCUCAAAAAACUAAAAUUAGAAUACCAUAUGAUCCAGUAACCCCACUUCUGGGUAUAUAUUAGAAAGAAUUGAAAUCAGAAAAAAAAAAUUGAACUCAGUACACUGAAGAGAUAUCUGUACUCCCAUGUUCACUGCAGCAUUGUUCACACAGCCAAGAUACGGUAUCAUGCUAGGUGUCCAUUAACAGAGAAAAUGUGGUAUAUAUACACAAUAGAAUACUAGUCAGCCUUUAAAAAGAAGGAAAUUCUGUCACUGGGACAAUAUAGAUGAACCUGGUGGACUGUGUGAAAUAAUCUAUGCACAGAAAGACAAAUACUGCACAAUCUCACUUAUAUGUGCAAUUUAAAAUAGUCAAACUUACAGAAGUAAAAAACGGAAUGAGUUACCAGGAGUAGAGAGUGGAUGCUGACCAAAGAAUACAAAGUUUCAGUUAGAUAGGAGAAUAAAUUUUUGAGCUCUAUUGCACAGUACGGUGACCAUAGUUAAUAAUAAUGUAUUAUAUAUUUCAAAACUGCUAAAAGAAUAGAUUUUAAAUGUUCUCAGUUAUAAAAAAAGUAAAGUAUGUGAUACAUAUGUUUACAUGUUGAUUAGCUUGAUCUUAAUGUUAAUUAGCUUGAUCUAAUCAUUCCAGUGAAUACAGAUAUCAAAACAUUACAUUGUGCCCCAUACUCCAUUAAUAUAUAUAAUUGUCAAUUAAAACUUUUUUUUUUUUGAGACAGAGUCUCACUCUGUCACCCAGGCUGAAGUGCAGUGGUGCAAUCUCAACUCACUGCAACCUCUGCCUCCCAGAUUCAAGUGAUCCUCCCACCUCAGCCUCCGAAAUAGCUGAGACUACAGGUGUGUGCCACUGUGCCCACCUAAUUUUUUAGUAAAAACAGGUUUUCACCAUGUUAGCCAGGCUGGUCGCAAACUCCUAACCUCAUGUGAUCCACCCACCUCGGCCUCCCAAAGUGCUGGGAUUACAGGUGUGAGCCAUUGCACCUGGGAUUACAGGUGUGAGCCAUUAUAAAAUAAAAUAAGUUUUAUUUUACUUAAAAAUAAAACUUAAAAAAAUAGAUGAAGAAGCAUAUACCAUGCUAAUGUUAAUCAAAAGAUAGCAAGAGAAGCUAAAUUAAUUUCAGGCAGAGCAAGCUUCAGGGAAAAGAAAGGUAUCACAGAUAAAGAUGGGAUACUGCAUAAUGCUAAGGGGGUCAAUUCUCCAAAAAGGCAUAACAAUCUUUAAUGUAUAUGUGCCUAACAACAGAAUAUCAAAAUAUGUGAGGCAAAAACCAAUAGAAACGCAAAGAGAAAUAGAAGAAUCCACUAUUAUAGCGGACACUUCAAAGCCCUUCUAUCAGAAAUUGACAGAUCCAGCAGGCAGAAAUUCAGUAAGAACACACUUGAAUUCAACACCACCAUCAAUCAACUAAAUAUAAUGGGUAUUUAUAGACUAAUUCAUCCAACAACAGCAGGAUACACAUUAUUCUCAAGUUCAUGUGAAAUACUCACCAACACAGACCAUAUUCUGGGCUCUUAAAACACCUUAACAAAUUUUUUAAAAAACAGAAAUCAUGAAAUUGGAUCCUUAUCUUAUACCAUACAUAAAAAUCAACUCAGAAUGGAUUAAGGACUUAAAUAUAAAACCUGAAACAGUACAACUGAAAGAAGAAAACACAGAGGGAAAGCUCCAUUAUUUUGGCCUGAACGGUAACAGAAAGAUAGCUGGAAAAUCUCAAAUUACUUGGAGAUUAAUCAACACACUUCUAAAUUACACAUGGGUCAAAAAAAAAAUCAAGAGAAAUUUGAAAAUAUUUUGAACUAAAUGAACAUGAAAAUACAGCUCAUCAAAUUUUGUGGGAUGCAGCAAAAGUAGUGCCUGGGAAAAUUUACAGCAUCGUGUGCACAUAUUAGUAAACAGGAAAGCUCCAAAAUCAAUCAUCUUCCACCUUGGAAAACAAGAAAAAGCAGAGCAUUAAACUUGAAGUAAGCAGAAGACAAGAAAUAACAAUUAGAGUAGAAAUCAAUGAAAUUGAAAAAAGGAAAUCAAUAAAGAAAAUCAACAAAACCAAAAGCUGGUUCUUUGAAAAAAAAAUCAAUAAAAUCAAUGAGCCUCUAGCCAGGCUAACUAAAAAGCCAGGGUGGUGGUGGGGAGGGCAAAUUACUAAUAUCAGAAAUGACAGAGGAGACGUCACUACAGAUGUCAUAGACUUUAAAAGGAUAAUAAAAGAAUUCCAUGAACAACUCUAUGAUCACAAAUCUGAUAACCUAGAUGAAACUGAUCAAUUCCUUGAAAGAUAAAAUCUGCCAAAACUCACACAAGAAAUGACAAUCUAAAUAGAUCUAUAUUUAUUAAAGAAGUUGAAUCAAUAAUUAAUAAACUUAAAAAUACAGAAAGUUCCAGACCUAAAUAGGUUCACUGUUGAAUUCUGUCAGCCAUUUAAGGAAGAAAUUACACCAAUUCUCUACGAUCUCUUUCAGAAGAUAGAAGCAGAGGAAAUACCUCCUGAUUUAUCCUAUGAGGCCAGCAUUACCUAAUACCAAAACCAAACAAAGACAUUACAAGAAAAGAAAACUACAGACCAGUAUCUCUCAUGAACAUAGAUACAAAAAUCCUCUACAAAAUAUUAACAUAUUAAGUCCAAGAAUGUAAAAAAGAAUUAUAUAUCACAACCAUGAGAUUUAUCCCAAGUAUGCAAGGCUGGUUCAACAUUCAGAAAUCAAUUAACAUAAUCUAUCACAUCAACAGGUUAAAGAAGAAAAAUAACACGAUUAUCUUUUUUGUUGUUGUUGUUUGUUUUUUGUUUUUUUAGACAGAGUCUCACUCUGUCCUAGGCUGGAGUGUAGUGGAACAAUCUUGGCUCACUGCAACCUCUGCCUCCCAGUUUCAAGUGAUUCUUGUGCCUCAGCCUCCCAGGUUGCUGGGAUUACAGGUGUGGGCCACCACACCCAGCUAACUUUUUUCGUAUUUUUAGUAGAGACAAGAUUUUGCCAUGUUGGCCAGGCUGGCCUUGAACUCCUGGCCUCAUGUGAUCCACCCACCUCAGCCUCCCAAAAUGCUGAGAUUACAGGCAUGAGCCACUGCACCCAGCCUAUGAUCGUAUCAAUAGAUGCAGAAAAAGCCUUUGACGAAGUCCAAUACCCACCCAUGAUAAAAACUCUCAGGAAACUAGGAAUAGAGGGGAACUUCCUCAAUUUGAUCAAGAAUAUCCAUUAAAAACCUAUAGCUAACAUUAUACUUCAUGGUGAGAAACUUAAGGUUAAGAAACUUAAGGUUUAAGACCAUAAUGGCAAGGAUGUCCCCUCUCACCACUCCUUUUUAUCAUCAUACUGGAAGUCCUAGCUAAUGCAAUAAGACAAGAAAAGGAAAUAAAAGGGAUACGGACUGGGAAGGAAGAAAUAAAACUUUGUUCAUACAUGACAGGGUAGUCUAUGUCAAAAAUCCAAAAGAAUCAACAAAAAAAUCCUGGAACUAGUAAGCAAUUAUAGUAAGGUUACAGGACACAAGGUUAAUAUACAAAAGUCAAUUGCUUUCCUAUAUACCAGCAAUGAGCAAGUGGAAUUUGAAUUUAAAAACACAAUACAACUUAUGUUAGCCUCCGAAAACAUAAAAUACUUAGGUAUAAAUCAAACAAAAUAUGUACAAAAUCUGUAUAAGGAAACCUUAAAAGCUCUGAUGACAGAAGUUAAAGAACUAACUAAAUGGAGAGAUAUACCAUGUUCAUGAAUAGGAAGAGUUAAUAUUUGGCCAGUCAUGGUGGCUAACACCUGUAAUCCCGGCAUGUCGGGAGGCCAAGGCAGGAGAAUCACUUGAGCCCAAGAAUUCGAGACCAGCCUGGGGAACAUGUGAGACUCUGUCUCUCCAAAAAAUUUAAAAAUUUGCCAGGCAUAGUGGUGUGCUCCUGUAGUCCCAGCUACUCAGCAAGCUGGGGCAGAGGAUCACUUGAGUCAAGGAUCAAGGCUGCAGUGAGCCAUGAUCACACCACUGCACUCCAGCCUGGGCAAUAGAGUGAAACCCUGUCUCAGAAAAAAGACAAAACAAAACCUUAAUAUUUUCAUAACAUCAAUUCUUCCCAACAUGAGCUAUAGAUUCAUGGCAAUCCCAGUCAAAAACCUGGCAAGUUAUUUUGUAUAAAUAUUUUUAAAAAUGAAUUCUAAAGUUUAUAUGGAGAGGCAAAAAGACCUUGAAUAGCCAACACAAUAUUAAAGGAGAAAAACUAAGUUGGAGAACUGACACUACCUUACUUCAAGACUUACUACAAAGCUACAGUAAUUAAGGCAGUGUGGUAUUGAUGAAAGAAUAGACAAACAUAUCAAAGGAACAGAAUUCAGAACCCAUAAAUAGACCCACAUAAACAUAAUCAACUGGUCUUUGACAAAGAAGCAAAGGAAAUACAAUGGAACAAAGAUCAUCUUUUUAACAAAUGAGGCUAGACCUGGACAUGAAAAAAAAAAAUGAAUCACAGAGGCUAAAUGUAAAGUAAAAAACUAUAAAACUCCUACAAGAUAAUAACAUAGGAGAAAACCUAGAUGAUCUAGGGGUUUGUUUUGUCUAGAGACAGGGUCUCGCUCUGUCAUCUAGGCUGGAAUGCAAUGGCACGACCAUAGCUCACCACAGCCUCAAACUACUUUGCUCAAGGGAGCCUCCCACCUCAGCCUCCUCAGUAGCUGGACUAUAGGAGCGCAUCACCACAUCAAGCUUAUUUAUUUAUUUAGACUAAGAUGGUAGGCCAUAAAAUAAGUCACAAUAAAUUGAAAAGGAUUAAAAUAAUUGAGACUAUAUUCUGACUAUAAUGAAAUUAAAUUAGAAAUCAAGAGAUCUGCAAAAUCC
rnacentral:lncRNA from 10 species